CAGUAGCCGCGGUAAUACGUAGGGUGCAAGCGUUAAUCGGAAUUACUGGGCGUAAAGCGUGCGCAGGCGGCUUUGCAAGACAGAUGUGAAAUCCCCGGGCUUAACCUGGGAACUGCAUUUGUGACUGCAUGGCUAGAGUGCGGCAGAGGGGGAUGGAAUUCCGCGUGUAGCAGUGAAAUGCGUAGAUAUGCGGAGGAACACCGAUGGCGAAGGCAAUCCCCUGGGCCUGCACUGACGCCCAUGCACGGAAGCGUGGGGGGCAAACAGGAUUAGAUACCCGAGUAGUCCCUGUCUCUUAUAC
rnacentral:rRNA from 1 species